UGUGCAUUGGCUCUCUCUACCACAAUGGAAGUGAUGGGCAUCAGUCAAAUUGCUGGGUUUCCUAUGUAGCGAUAUACUAGCAGCUCAUUACUGGAUGCAGACAUUGUGGAACUAUCCAAUUGUAAUCUUCAAAGAUAUCAUAUUCAUAAUCAAUACUAGUCUUGAGAUGCUUCUUCACUCAUCUACUCCAGGUCUUCAUUAAAAACUCAAAUAAGAAUGAUAUUAUCUUGGACUUAGAAGAAGAGAUUAAGCAGGGUAUACAUAACAACAACAACAUAUUGCCUUCCUCAAACAAGUACACUUGUAUAAAAUAAUGAAUAUAUCACUCUUCUACUAUACUAUUUUAAAAGCAAGAACUUUGGAGAAGACAUAUUAGAAGACAACAUAUAUUACUUUCAAAGAAAAGAUUAUUGCUUAUGGAAGUGGACAAGAUCUUAGGAGAAAUGAAGGUGACCAUCUAUUACCUGGACUCUUGCCUGUCCUUGAUGAUUAAACAAGCCACAGAGGGACUGGCAGAAUGGGCAAAUGUGCUAGUGAACACCUCUUUGGCAUAAGGCUUAAUGCCAAUUAAUCUUAAAGAGGCUGCAGUAAAACCUGUAUUAAAUAAACUGACAUUGGAUCCCA